rnacentral:rRNA from 1 species
CCACGCCGUAAACGAUGUCGACUUGGAGGUUGUGCCCUUGAGGCGUGGCUUCCGGAGCUAACGCGUUAAGUCGACCGCCUGGGGAGUACGGCCGCAAGGUUAAAACUCAAAUGAAUUGACGGGGGCCCGCACAAGCGGUGGAGCAUGUGGUUUAAUUCGAUGCAACGCGAAGAACCUUACCUGGUCUUGACAUCCACGGAAGUUUUCAGAGAUGAGAAUGUGCCUUCGGGAACCGUGAGACAGGUGCUGCAUGGCUGUCGUCAGCUCGUGUUGUGAAAUGUUGGGUUAAGUCCCGCAACGAGCGCAACCCUUAUCCUUUGUUGCCAGCGGUCCGGCCGGGAACUCAAAGGAGACUGCCAGUGAUAAACUGGAGGAAGGUGGGGAUGACGUCAAGUCAUCAUGGCCCUUACGACCAGGGCUACACACGUGCUACAAUGGCGCAUACAAAGAGAAGCGACCUCGCGAGAGCAAGCGGACCUCAUAAAGUGCGUCGUAGUCCGGAUUGGAGUCUGCAACUCGACUCCAUGAAGUCGGAAUCGCUAGUAAUCGUGGAUCAGAAUGCCACGGUGAAUACGUUCCCGGGCCUUGUACACACCGCCCGUCACACCAUGGGAGUGGGUUGCAAAAGAAGUAGGUAGCUUAACCUUCGGGAGGGCGCUUACCACUUUGUGAUUCAUGACUGGGGUGAAGUCGUAACAAGGUAACCGUAGGGGAACCUGCGGUUGGAUCACCUCCUUACCUUAAAGAA